rnacentral:misc_RNA from 1 species
UCAGUCAGAAACAUCCAUGG